UAAUACAGAGGUCCCAAGCGUUGUUCGGAUUCACUGGGCGUAAAGGGUGCGUAGGUGGUCGGAUAAGUCUGAUGUGAAAUCCCGCAGCUUAACUGCGGAACGGCAUUGGAAACUAUCCGCCUCGAGGAAUGGAGGGGAGACUGGAAUACUUGGUGUAGCAGUGAAAUGCGUAGAUAUCAAGUGGAACACCAGUGGCGAAGGCGAGUCUCUGGACAUUUCCUGACGCUGAGGCACGAAAGCCAGGGGAGCAAACGGG
rnacentral:rRNA from 1 species